GGUCCGUAGGCGGUUUAAUAAGUCAGUGGUCGAAAGCCCAUCGCUCAACGGUGGAACGGCCAUUGAUACUGUUAAACUUGAAUUAUUAGGAAGGUAACUAGAAUAUGUAGUGUAGCGGUGAAAUGCUUAGAGAUUACAUGGAAUACCAAUUGCGAAGGCACGGUUACUACUAAUGGAUUGACGCUGAUGGACGAAAGCGUGGGGUAGCGAACAGGAUUAGAUACCCUGGU
rnacentral:rRNA from 1 species